UGAAUACGAGACGCUAAGGCGUCGAAGUAGUGUAUGUCAUACUUCCAAGAAAAGCUUGCACUGUCAUAAGUAAAAAAUGCCUGUACCAUAACCGACACAGGUGGGUAGGUAGAGUAUACUAAGGGGCGCGAGAUAACUCUCUCUAAGGAACUCGGCAAAAUAACUCCGUAACUUCGGGAGAAGGAGUACCUUAUUCUAUAAGGUUGCAAUAACAAGAUCCAAGCAACUGUUUAUCAAAAACACAGGUCUCCGCUAAGUCGUAAGACGAUGUAUGGGGGCUGACGCCUGCCCAGUGCCAGAAGGUUAAAGAAGUCGGUUAGCAUUAGCGAAGCUGGUAACUGAAGCCCUGGUGAACGGCGGCCGUAACGAUAACGGUCCUAAGGUAGCGAAAUUCCUUGUCGGGUAAGUUCCGACCCGCACGAAAGGCGUAAUGAUUUGGAUACUGUCUCGGAGAGGGGCUCGGUGAAAUAGACUUGUCUGUGAAGAUGCGGACUACCUGCACCAGGACAGAAAGACCCUAUGAAGCUUUACUGUAACUUGAAAUUGAAAUUGGACUUUAUUCGCGCAGUAUAGGUGGGAGGUGUUGAUUAUAAUCUUGCGGGAUUAUUGGAGCCAUCAGUGAGAUACCACUCUUGUAAUGUUAGAUUUCUAACUUUGAAUCAUUAUCUGGUCAAAGGACAGUUUCAGGCGGGCAGUUUGACUGGGGCGGUCGCCUCCCAAACGGUAACGGAGGCGUACAAAGGUUUCCUCUGAACGGGUAGAAAUCGUAUCUAGAGUGUAAAGGCAUAAGGAAGCUUGACUGUGAGACCUACAAGUCGAACAGGGACGAAAGUCGGUCUUAGUGAUCUGACGGUACUGAGUGGAAAGGCCGUCACUCAACGGAUAAAAGUUACUCUAGGAUAACAGGCUGAUCUCCCCCAAGAGUUCACAUCGACGGGGAGGUUUGGCACCUCGAUGUCGGCUCAUCGCAUCCUGGGGCGCUAGUACGUCCCAAGGGUUGGGCUGUUCGCCCAUGAAAGCGGUACGCGAGCUGGGUUCAGAACGUCGUGAGACAGUUCGGUCCAUAUCCGGUGUAGGCGUUAGAAUAUUGAGAGGAGCCUUCUUUAGUACGAGAGGACCGAGAAGGACAUACCUCUGGUGUACCAGUUAUCGUGCCAACGGUAAACGCUGGGUAGCUAUGUAUGGAGUGGAUAACCGCUGAAAGCAUCUAAGUGGGAAGCCCACCUCAAGAUAAGUAUUC
rnacentral:rRNA from 1 species